rnacentral:siRNA from 1 species
AUAGCCGUUCACCUAGGAUUCUAC